AUUGAAAGUGCAAAACAAGACAACAAGAAAACUGUUUUGGUUUUAACUCAGAAACUAAAGUUCAUGAAGCUGAUUUAACAACAACAGACAAGUUGUCCAAAACAUUGUUUUUUAAGUUCAUUAAUCUUGGAUUGUGAGUUUUUACUUAAAUUUAAACCAAAUAA